rnacentral:lncRNA from 1 species
GAAGAGAAUUGCGCAAAUGCGUGUGUGAGUGGAGUUAUACCCAAGCCAACUACUGGCUGCGAACAGCUUCUAGUGGGUCCCGACCUCGGUGGUCUUUUAACAGUGAUUUCAGGUUUAACGAUAGUGCGAACAUCACGGCGAUUGCGAGCUGGCGACUGCAAUCAACCACGCACCUGGAGUGACUCAUUAACCACCAAGGGAUGUCAUGGAAGGACACAUCACACGCACUAAACAUCAAAACAUUUCCCACGAAUCUGCCAAUUUGAAUCAGGACGUGCGAUAAAUAGAUGAAAUCGA